rnacentral:rRNA from 1 species
GACGAACGCUGGCGGCGGGCUUAACACAUGCAAGUCGAACGGAAAGGCCCUGCUUUUGUGGGGUGCUCGAGUGGCGAACGGGUGAGUAACACGUGAGUAACCUGCCCUUGACUUUGGGAUAACUUCAGGAAACUGGGGCUAAUACCGGAUAGGAGCUCCUGCUGCAUGGUGGGGGUUGGAAAGUUUCGGCGGUUGGGGAUGGACUCGCGGCUUAUCAGCUUGUUGGUGGGGUAGUGGCUUACCAAGGCUUUGACGGGUAGCCGGCCUGAGAGGGUGACCGGCCACAUUGGGACUGAGAUACGGCCCAGACUGCUACGGGAGGAAGCAGUGGGGAAUAUUGCACCAUGGGCGGAAGGCUGAUGCAGCAACGCCGCGUGCGGGAUGACGGCCUUCGGGUUGUAAACCGCUUUCGCCUGUGACGAAGCGUGAGUGACGGUAAUGGGUAAAGAAGCACCGGCUAACUACGUG